rfam:Glycine max cultivar Williams 82 chromosome 9, whole genome shotgun sequence.
GUCACAAAGAAGAAUUGAUUGUCAUGUGUCACACAUUCUAAUUGGACAUGAAAAGGUGCACCCAAGAGUCAGUUCUAAUAUUUUUUUUUUCAUCAUCCAAUCAAAACGUGACAUAUGAACGUCAACAUUU